rnacentral:rRNA from 1 species
UCAAGUUAUUAAGGGUGCAGGGCGGAUGCCUUGGCACUAGGAGCCGAUGAAGGACGUGAUAAGCUGCGAUAAGCUUCGGGGAGUUGCACGUAAACUUUGAUCCGAAGAUUUCCGAAUGAGGAAACUCACUUAGAGUAAUGUCUAAGUAUCAUUAAGUGAAUACAUAGCUUAAUGAGGGGAACUCAGGGAACUGAAACAUCUAAGUACCUGAAGGAAGAGAAAGAAAUUCGAUUCCGUAAGUAGCGGCGAGCGAACGCGGAUUAGCCCAAACCAAUAAAGUUUUCUUUAUUGGGGUUGCGGACAUAUCAUAACGAAGAGGUAUCGUAAUUGAAGAGGUUUGGAAAGACCCACCACAGAAGGUAAUAGUCCUGUAUGUUAAACGAGAAGACUUUAGAUAUGAUCCAGAGUACCACGGGACACGUGAAACCCUGUGGGAAGCAGGAGGGACCACCCUCCAAGGCUAAAUACUACCUAGUGACCUAUAGCGUAUAGUACCGUGAGGGAAAGGUGAAAAGAACCCCGGGAGGGGAGUGAAAUAGAACCUGAAACCCUGCACUUACAAGCUGUGGAAGCACAUUUCUUGUGUGAC